rnacentral:rRNA from 1 species
UAAGUAGGAAGCGAGCGUUAUCCGGAUUUAUUGGGCGUAAAGCGGGCGUAGGAGGCACUUCAAGUACGAUGUGAAAUCUCCCGGCUUAACCGGGAGGGUGCAUCAGGAAGUGCUGGGCUAGAGUGAAGCCGAGGAAAGCGGAAUUCCCGGUGUAGUGGUGAAAUGCGUAGAUAACGGGAGGAACACUAGUGGCGAAGGCGGCUUUCUGGGCUGUAACUGCCACUGAGGUCCGAAGGCGUGGGUAGCAAACAGG